AUGAUAUUUCAAAUUUUAAGGCAUUUGAACUUCGACGUUGAAUUGAGAAAACGUUUAACGAAUGUAUUAUAACAUUUAUUUUAUUUAGCAUUUCAUCGCAAAAGGGUUUCAUGCGUAUGAAGAAUAUUUUUAGUAAAGAAAACUAAUUUUUUUAAUCCUGUGGAAUGUGUGCCAUCUGAUAUUGCUCCGGGGGCAACCACUUGACGGCCAAAGAAAGCAUCAAGAUGCGUUAUGUAAUGACCACCUUGUUUCAGGUAUAUUUUUUUGCUUACUCCUCUGAUUCCUCCGACGCGUUAUUGAUUAUAAAACUCGAUACAGGCGCAUGUCGCGUUCGAUGACCACCGAGCAGUUACGUACACCGAAAGGUCAGUGAAAUUUAUCGAUAAACUGUGAUAUUCACACGAAAUGAUAGUUAUUCAUAAAAUUAGAAAAAUCAUAGAGAUAAUAUGUAUAUUUCGUCACUACAUUGAUAGAAACUUCUCUGGCAAAUAUGAGUUUGAAGCUCGAACUGGAGACGACAGAUGCAAUAGGAGUUGGACAUAGGCCACGAAACACCACUUCCACCGAGAGUGACAAUACAAAGAGAAAAAUUCGGUAAAAAUUACGUGUUGUAUACCCCAUUAUUUUAAUUAUCCUUAAUUAUUCUGUUCCCAUGUAAUUCGCUAGGGUUCUCCAAAUAAUCCCAUGGACUUCACCCAAACCAUUUAAUUGUUAUUUCCGACAUCUGUUCGACACUUGGGACAAUCUACACGAUCAUAAAUGAACUUUUGGGUUCUUCAGUACUUCAAAAUAUCCAGAUCAUUUUAUUCUCUCCCAUCACUUCCUUCAAAUUUGGUCUUUAGAGCUAAUUCCCGCCACUAACAGAAAUUCCUGGGUCUGCCAAAAUCGUAAUAAACCCUCGGAAAAUCUGCAGAAACUUCCCCAUGAACUCACAACACAACCUUCAUGCUUCCUUCAGCCCCUCCUUUUUCCUCGCACCCUCCGGUGCCUCAAAGUGCACCGGCCACUUUGAGGCAAAAAAGACGUGAUUUUUGUACAUCUCAACUUCGUUCCUUGAAGAGAAAUGCAUUUAUUAUUCCUCGGAAAAUUCUGAUUUAGACAAAGAAAAUAGAUUGAAUGAUUCAACAGGUGUACACCUAUCUCAAUGAGGUAAUCUUGGUGGAACAUCACACAUGCACAGACAGGAGAAAGAGUAUUUAUAAUACCGAAACAUGCAUAGGUAUGCAAUAGUUGCAUCAAACAUUUGGAUUCCAAUCGGAGAUUUGCUAGGCGAUAAUUUUCGCAUCCCUGUCAUUCGGUAUUAUUCAAAACAUCAUGGACACGAUUCCAAGAAACCGAAUAAUACAGAGACUACAACAGAUGUAAAAUACAUUUGGAAAAUAAAUGGCGAAUACAUGUAAUAAAAUUUAAUGAAGGAAAAGCAAUUCGUGUCGUGCCAAAUAGCGAAUGUUACGUGAAAUUCCAUAAAUCUACAUUGAGUUCUCACAAAAAUACCUUUAUGAAAUAAAUACAUAAAUAGAAUAAAUCAUGUCCGUUUAUGUAACUGGAAUGUAAGAAAAACAAUAAUUCGAAAUGUUAGGAAUUUCGAAGAAUAAUUCUAUCUAUUGUUAUUUUAUUUAUUUUUCCAACAAUCCUUGGUGUUGUUUAUUCCCUUAACUCAUGAAACUAGGAACCGUUUACUCCGACGAAUGGAUGAAUGAGAAAGCAGUAAAUAAGAGUGAUGAAUUUCUUUGAAUUAUGAAACUGAAUUAGUUCAAUAAAAAAUAGUAAUUCCUCAAUUACAGGAAUUGAGGUCGGAAGGCUAUCCCCACUGAUCCAGACAGAUCAUGCAUCCAGUAUUCGUAAUAGAGAGUAAUAGUAGCUCAUCUAUAUCAGACUUGAGGGGUCGUGCAUUGCAGAAAUACUCGUCUGCCUCCUCUUCAUGUUCGACAAAAAUUACAAUCACUAUCUCCAGUCUUUCCUAACUCAUUCACCCAAGUACAUCGAUAUUUCACCGUUGGCGGGAUCGUUUAUUUAUGGGUACAAAAGAUGGAAAACACUUCGCUUUCAUCAAUCUGACGUUUUUUUUGCACCCCAGCGUGUGCAGUAUGGGCGCAAAUAACUCGGUAAAUAAGGAAGUAGAAACUGGUGUCCAGGGGCUUUUGUGUUGAGUGAUGACGCAGACAAGUAGCAGAGAAGAAUGAGUUCUAAUUUCUCCGUUGUCCCAAAUCUUGUAGAACAAUUGGGAAAAGGAUAAAAAACAACAUCUGAAAAAGCACUGAUUCCGCAACAGAAUUACUGUUAUCACCCUAAACAUACCAACCACGUCGAUUCCCUGUCAACCAUGACAUGAACUGGAGCAUUACAACUGUGAUGACCAGUUGUCCAAGAGAAUUGAAAGGAGGAAGUUAAACAUUCGUUUUUCCUCAUGAAUUUGUAUUUGCUUUUUCGAAAUAACUAUCAUUGGUAACAUUAUUAUUUUUUUGGUGUAGGGCAUGAGCAUUUAUUCGCAAUGAUUUUCCAAUAAUUAUCACCCUCCAGUACUCCAUGACGAAUUUGUUAUUCCACAUUAACUAUUUGCAACUGUUCAAGUACGAUAAUUUUUCCAGCAGAUUAAACCCCACAAUUAAUUCGAAAUUUUAUUCAUUAACAACAAACUGAAAGUGGCACAAUGCGUGGCAGUGACAGUUAUUGGAAUAUUGACGGUAUCAGCUGUCACGAGAAUAUUGGAAAAAAUUGUCUACCCAGAACUUCACGGGUUCAGCGUAACUAGAAAAAGCAUCAGAACCCACCAACUUUCUACUCGCAGAGAAGAUCACCUUUCGUCCAGAGUAUUUUGCACUGAAUAUCAAGUCUUAAUUUGCAUUCAGGGGACAAGUCAUUGUGGGAACAGUCCCCCGGAGCACUUCAAAUUAUGACAAAAAGAAAUGGUAACGUAAUGUGUCAUUCCGGAACCGGUUAUAACGAUCCAACACGCAGGAAAGAAAUUUAUAGAAAAACCUAGCGAAUUUUAUUGGAAAUUCUAUUGAAUAUCGCUAGGAGCCAUUUUUGCGGGAUUCUAUCGAAAAUUUUGACAGCUUUAUUAACGUUUCUUUUUUUUAUGUGCCACAGAGUGGAUUUAUAUAGAAGGCCGACAAAAAUCCAUUUUUAACACUUUUUGCUUCCGAAUAAAAGCAUUGGAUUCAUCAAAUUCUAAAUUUUCAAUUUUUUAUUACUCAGAAUUACUAUUUCAAUCAAAAUUCAUAAAUAAUCAUGCGAAUUCGAUCGAUUUUCAUUUAUUUUCACUAAACAAAACUUGAUAUUUCAAUCAAUUUAGCUAUUGCUAGACUGAACUGCACUAGAAUCCUGUCAAUUUUUCCUUUCCCCAUGAGUCAAUUGUUUAGUCUACGCCAAUAGUUCUAUUCUUCUCGAUGAUAUCAAGAAAUCUGUCUUUUUUAUAAAACUAAAUCUCGUUUGAGGAAAUAUAAAUACCCUCAUUAAUCUUUCUUUUCUUUUAUUUAUUUUUAUAUUUUUUUCUUGCAAUUAUCGUUGUGCUUUUUUUUAACACUAACCGUUAAUUUAAUUAAUGUUUAGCACAAUAAUAAUUUACAUUUUAUGUGCAAAUAGUGAUGAAAACUCCCUCAAUCUUAACAAAAACCAAAAAGAUGAUUUUCUAAUUUGUAAUACUUUAAAAACUCAAAUUUUCAUUAUUAUUAAAAUAGCAUAAAUCAUUAUCUUUUUUAUACUAUUUUUUAUGGUUCCAAAUAUUGCAAAUACUGUUUGUUUAUAAACAAAGAAAAACCUGGUUAAAAAAAAAUUUUUCUCGAUGACAAAAUUCAAAGGAUCGAAUCGACUAAUGAUAAUGAGAAAUUUCGAUGGUUCAUUUGAACCCUCAGUGAAAUGCCGCUGACCACAUAAAACUGAAAGGUCAUCUUGAUGCUGAGAAUCCUAAAAACCUCAUAAAUGGAAUUUCGAGCAAAACAAUGCAUAAUUAUGGGAAUCUCGAAGGAUGAAAGUAAUUAUUAAUGAAAGGACAAGAGGAGACUUGAUGAUUCGUUUGAUCUCAAGAAUUAUUGAUCCUGAAUGGACCAUUAGCCAUUGAUCGCCCUCACUUAAUUGAUUCCACAUGAAUCAUUGAUUGAGAUUAAAUUAACGAAGAGCAAAAUACAUUGAUAAAUGAAUUUUCUUCAAUGAUCAGCCAAUUUAUUCAAUAUAAGUUGUAACGACUCAUAAACUAACUAUCGUCCAGAAUUUUACUUGUCGACCCUAUCCAUGAGGAUAGGAGUGAAAAAAGCUGGAUUCACGUAAGAGGUCAAUCGAUUCACGAUGACAUAUGAUGAAAAUAUUCAACGAAAAUCAUAUUUACAGUAAUGCUUUCACAAAAUCAAGCGCCUUAUCAGCAAUCACAGUCAUUGAUUCAUAAAUUAUGUCAAUAUGAGGAAAUCUCUUCACAAGUAAAUUGAUUCCAAUAGCCGCGCCAUAUGGUCACUGCACAUGAUUCGUAUCGGGGUAUUUAACAUAUCCCUUA